AAACAUCAUUUCGAGGAUCAAGGGGGUUGGAUCCACUUAAGAUGCGUUGAGAUUUGCGCAUGUAGUACCUUCAGAGUACGUCUUUAAUACCAAUUCAAUGGAUGCGUGUAGGCACAAUGUUGCAUCUUUACCAAGAUCAACAGUGAAGGAGAUGUCCUGUCUUAAUACAAUGUGCUAAGUACAAUGAAGCGCAAAGUUGAACUUAGAUAUGGAAUUUCGGAUUCCAUACCUCUUCAAGGGUCUCAUAUACAUAUAUCGUAUGGAUGAUCAUAGGUAUACUUAAAGGUAACACAUUCAGUUUGUAGUUCGAAUGGUAGACCAAAAUACCGUCAGAACAACGCUUGAACUUCAGGUCAAAGCAUAAACGAGUUUUCCCAAGAUCCUUCAUCUCAAAUUCCAUCUUCAGGUGCGAGGCAGUUUUCUCAAGCUCUUCCAGAGUCUUAGUGAGAUGUAUGUCAACGACAUAAACUGCAACUCUAGCAAUUUGGAAUAAGACUUCAUAGUUUAACACGCAAGGGCAUAAUUCAUAUCCCUAACUGAUCA
rnacentral:lncRNA from 1 species